rnacentral:misc_RNA from 1 species
UAUGAUCAACCCCUCCAACUUUUGUAGUUGGCUUCUGGUGGUUUGGAUAUGGAGGUUUUGCAGGUACUUUUAAAGUGUCAGCUCCUCUGAAAUGCAUUAGCAGAACGGUUUGCAAUCUGUUAACUGGUGUGAUAAUUGUCUACGCUAGUGGAUUGCUCUCUUUAUGUUCAGCUUCUAAUAGUUUCCGAUUGAGGAGACAAUGUAUAUGAAC